rnacentral:rRNA from 1 species
UACGUAGGGGGCUAGCGUUGUCCGGAAUCAUUGGGCGUAAAGCGCGUGUAGGCGGCCCGGUAAGUCCGCUGUGAAAGUCGGGGGCUCAACCCUCGGAUGCCGGUGGAUACUGUCGGGCUAGAGUACGGAAGAGGCAAGUGGAAUUCCUGGUGUAGCGGUGGAAUGCGCAGAUAUCAGGAGGAACACCUAUAGCGAAGGCAGCUUGCUGGGACGAUACUGACGCUAAGGCUCGAAAGCGUGGGGAGCGAACAGG